rnacentral:rRNA from 1 species
UACGUAGGGGGCUAGCGUUGUCCGGAUUUAUUGGGCGUAAAGAGCGUGUAGGCGGCCAGGUAGGUCUGGUGUGAAAACUCGAGGCUUAACCUCGAGAUGUCAUCGGAAACCAUCUGGCUAGAGUCCGGAAGAGGAGAGUGGAAUUCCUGGUGUAGCGGUGAAAUGCGCAGAUAUCAGGAAGAACACCAAUGGCGAAGGCAGCUCGCUAGGACGGUACUGACGCUGAGACGCGAAAGCGUGGGGAGCGAACAGG